UACGUAGGGGGCAAGCGUUGUCCGGAUUUAUUGGGCGUAAAGAGCGUGUAGGCGGCCAGGUAGGUCUGCUGUGAAAACUCGGAGGCUCAACCUCGAGACGCCGAUGGAAACCAUGUGGCUAGAGUCCGGAAGAGGAGAGUGGAAUUCCUGGUGUAGCGGUGAAAUGCGCAGAUAUCAGGAAGAACACCCGUGGCUAAGGCGGCUCUCUAGUACGGUACUGACGCUGAGACGCGAAAGCGUGGGGAGCGAACAGG
rnacentral:rRNA from 1 species